AAACCGCUCAGAGGUAAACGGGUGGAUCCGCAAAGUCGACCAGCGGAAUUCAGCGCGGCGCGCGGCUCUGGGCUGCCGUGGUUUGGGAUCCCUGGGACCCAACCGCGGUGCCGACCGGGGCUCCGCCGCGUGCACUUUCCGCUGGUAGAGUGCCACAACCGAUUCGGCGGCGGCGACAAGCUCUGAGGGUUGCAGGUGGGGGCGCUUGCGUCCCUACCAGCCCUCACCGUCAAKCCGUCGACUGGAUCGAGGGACCGCCGCGCGCUUCGAGGCCACCCUCCCCUCCUCAUGAGUACGACUGGGAGAGACUGGGCAACCGUGUCUCCCGACCGCUGAUCGGGCGAUUGGCGUGGGGAUGGCCGGGCGCGCAUUGUCAGGGUUGGUGGCGAAUCUGUCGGCACUCCACCCGACCCGUCUUGAA
rnacentral:rRNA from 1 species